rnacentral:rRNA from 1 species
UACGUAGGACCCAAGCGUUAUCCGGAAUUACUGGGCGUAAAGAGUUGCGUAGGCGGCUAAGUAAGCAAAGUGUGAAAGCGUGUGGCUCAACCAUACAUACAUGCCUUGAACUGCUUUAGCUAGAGAAUGGAAGAGGUAGCUGGAAUUCCUAGUGUAGGAGUGAAAUCCGUAGAUAUUAGGAGGAACACCGAUGGCGUAGGCAGGCUACUGGUCCAUUUCUGACGCUCAGGCACGAAAGCGUGGGGAGCGAACGGG